GCUAUUUUGGCAGAUUAGUGCAAUAAAUUUAGAAUUUAUCUAUGUAAUAUUAUUUACAAAUAGUA
rnacentral:tRNA from 1 species